rnacentral:rRNA from 1 species
GGGAACUGUGGCACUGAUUUGAGAGCUUGCUCAGAUAUGACGAUGGACAUUGCAAAGAGUGGCGAACGGGUGAGUAACACGUGGGAAACCUACCUCUUAGCAGGGGAUAACACUUGGAAACAAGUGCUAAUACCGUAUAACACUAAUAACCGCAUGGUUAUUAGUUAAAAGAUGGUCUUGCUAUCACUAAGAGAUGGUCCCGCGGUGUAUUAGCUAGUUGGUAAGGUAAUGGCUUACCAAGGCAAUGAUACAUAGCCGAGUUGAGAGACUGAUCGGCCACAAUGGGACUGAGACACGGCCCAUACUCCUACGGGAGGCAGCAGUAGGGAAUCUUCCACAAUGGACGAAAGUCUGAUGGAGCAACGCCGCGUGUGUGAUGAAGGGUUUCGGCUCGUAAAACACUGUUGUAAGAGAAGAAUGACAUUGAGAGUAACUGUUCAGUGUGUGACGGUAUCUUACCAGAAAGGAACGGCUAAAUACGUGCCAGCAGCCGCGGUAAUACGUAUGUUCCAAGCGUUAUCCGGAUUUAUUGGGCGUAAAGCGAGCGCAGACGGUUAUUUAAGUCCGAAGUGAAAGCCCACAGCUUAACUGUGGAAGUGCUUUGGAAACUGGAUAACUUGAGUGCAGUAGAGGAGAGUGGAACUCCAUGUGUAGCGGUGAAUGGCCGUAGAUAAAA